GUCAGCACUGCAGCUGCACUGCUGCAGUAUACGAUAAGGCCAUCGUGCACGGACGCGAUCGCGUUAACAUUCUUCCUCUUUCCCAUGUCUCUGCAUGACGGCCUCGGCAAGGAGUUUGCUAUCGGUUUAUAAUGUGCUACACUGCUCAUAUCGGUCCAUUCAUAUUCUGUACUAUUACUGGACCGCGGUUCUGGAGCGAUAUAUGCAUGAUUUGGCAUAAGGGAUCGCAAAAUUAGCUCUGCGAAGCGUAAACCGAUCAUGUCAUUGCACGGAACCAUGGCAAAUCAUACACCACGUGUUGUGUUAUGCCUUGACGGAACUGUAUACGUACUUCAUUCAGUACAGCAUGUAACAGCUUUGUAUACAAUAUUACAAGAAACAGCCUCGGCUUCGCCUCCGCUUUUCUUGUGGUCUCCAGUCUACGGCCGGUUUAUUCAAAUGAUUUCGAUCAGCUAUUUAGUUAACAUCUUAUUCCUUCAACGAAACAAAAUGAAUCCGAAAAUACGCUAAAACGCAGAUAGAAUAAAAAGUGAAUUUAUGGCUUUUGUGCACUCAGACGCAUUCAGUUUCACUCAGAAGGGAAUUUUUGUUAACUUCUCCCUCCCGACUUUGAUCGAGCCUACCAGGUACUACAUUUCCACUAAAGGAUGCUUACAAUAGAUGCUGGUGGUAGUUCGGUCACUCGUUUACCUAGCGGGCUGUGUACUCUGGAUAGUAGUGGUAGUUCGGUCACUCGUUUACCUAGCGGGCUGUGUACUCUGGAUAGUAGUGGUAGUUCGGUCACUCGUUUACCUAGCGGUCUGUGUACUCUGGAUAGUAGUGGUAGUUCGGUCACUCGUUUACCUAGCGGGCUGUGUACUCUGGAUAGUAGUGGUAGUUCGGUCACUCGUUUACCUAGCGGUCUCUGUGCUCUGGAUAGUAGUGGUAGUUCGGUCACUUGUUUACCUAGCGGGCUGUGUACUCUGGAUAGUAGUGGUAGUUCGGUCACUCGUUUACCUAGCGGUCUGUGUGCUAUGGAUAGUAGUGGUAGUUCGGUCACUCGUUUACCUAGCGGUCUGUGUGCUAUGGAUAGUAGUGGUAGUUCGGUCACUCGUUUACCUAGCGGGCUGUGUGCUCUGGACAGCAGCGGUAGUUCGGUCACUCGUUUACCUAGCGGUCUGUGUACUCUGGAUAGUAGUGGUAGUUCGGUCACUCGUUUACCUAGCGGGCUGCGUGCUCUGAAUAGUAGUGGUAGUUCGGUCACUCGUUCACCUAGCGGGCUGUGUGCUCUGGACAGCAGCGGUAAUUCGGUCACUCGGUGAGCUAGCGGGCUGUGUGCUCUGGAUAGUAGCGGUAGUUUGGUCACAGCUUGGCUCUGUGAAACUGAAACCGUCUGGCCAGGUUUUGGAAUAUGGGCAUUCAGAUUAUGGAAAUGGUUUCUGCUGAUUCUAUACGGGAAAGCUGGGUUCGUGAAUCUCUUUUUAUUUUUUGUGGUAAUAAAGAUCUAGAAUGUACAGUAGAUACCGUACUAUUAUUCCGUAUUAUACGAAAUAAUUUACGGACUGUAGAUGCUGAUUAUCCUUUAUCAAUCACUGUCCUUAGUUUUGCUCGGACUGCAAUGAAAGGUUAGCCCGUUUGAACGAUUACUAUGGUCAGUUUCUUCUACAGCUGCCUUCAAAUAUAAACGAAGCCAUCCAUUUAAACGAUUUAAACUGUAAACGAAGCCAUCCACUUGCAGUAUCGUUUGUGCUACUGCUAAUUGGCUUUUCUAGUUUUGUAGGAUUAAAAGUUCAAACCUUUUUGAUUUGUUGAUCUAAAAAGGGUACCAGUUUAAAUUUACUGAUUUUUUGCUCCAUGCAACAGGACUUUGAAAUUGUUUCAAGGUCACCUUGAGCUUUCUUCUCUACCGGCACCGGCGUCUGUGCACGGAAGCCGGAGCAGAUAUUACCAAAACAAAAUGCAUGUGACACAGUUUCCAGACAUGCUGAAUCGAAUGGCGUUAGCAGUUUUUCGAUUAAUUUUUUGGUUUGUUAUGACCAGAUCGUACGGGGUUUUCCGUUGUAAUAUAGAUCUUUACCUUGAUACCUUGAUAGUACCUUUAUUGAUGAGUCUUAAGAAUUAUGGCUGUGGCAUUUGUAUUUAGAAAUUGUAAAAUUAAGCAUUAGGCAGCUUUCUGUGUAGUAUUAACUACAGUUACACCAACUGCGCCCAUUUCAGCUUCGAUCUGUUUAAUGUAUUUAUUAAAAAUUUUAUCCGGGUUCAGCGAGUCCGGCUCCGGGGUGGUUUCGUCGGCCAUGACAGCUGUAAAAUUAUUUCGAUGAGCACAUAAAGCCAUACUCUUAUUAUUAAGAAUUUUUCCUAAUUUGAGUAUCAAGUACGAGUACAAUCAGAUGCCUGGGAAGAAUUAUGUAUGUAUUUAUGUCAUAGAGCUUUAACCUUGUUGCACAAACGGUUGCCCAUUCCACACUGGCUCUAUACUGUAGUCAUAAUUAUUUAUGCACAAGUACUGCUGUAAAAAAAGUGUCACUGAAGUUAUAGUUUUUCAAGGUUUUUCGUUGCUUUGCGUUGCGUUUACUUACCAGCCAAAACCAUCAGGCCGACCAAUGCGACCGCCAGAAAUGUAAUCCACAAUUUGGCCAUUGCUGAAAUAAUUUAAAAUCUAAAUAUAGUUAUAGCAGCCUUUAAAGCUUAGCAAAAGGUCGAAACUCGAAACCUUGAAGCUUAAAUUGACUUGUCCGUAGUUGCACAGUUAGGAAUAGGCAAAUUAAAUUCUUGGUAUGGUUCUUUUAAGAUAUCUCACCUUAAAUAUUAGCAAAACUUCAUGUACAGACUGUACGUUGAGGCUACCUUUUACAAGUUUUCGAUGAUUUAGUGACACAAGGAGACGUUCUGGUCGACAGGAAUGCAGCUGAAAAGUUGAGAUACAAGAGUAAUCUGACUUGUAUAAUAUACAUACAUGUAAGUCAAGCGAACAUAUAUUAUCCUGACCGAAUGCUGUUUAACUUGAUAAUGCCGAUUCCGAACGUACGAGAUUGUUUAUUUCUGAUAAUAAUAUUAAUUGCAAAACUGUUUCGUACUACUCUGCCUUCCUAGAAGUUCACCACAAAUAACUGUCAUUAUUUGUAUUUCCUGAUUUUGGCGCCGCAUGAGGUACUGCAUCGGCCAAACUACACCAACCAGGGUCCAUUUAAAUUCUGUAUGUACAGUACGAGUAUGUACUAAAGUUUGUGAAAUGUUAGUUCUUUGGUUGAGAUACAGAUCAGAGUAUAGCGGUCAUUCAAACUACUUUUAUAUCACUCGUUCAAUCGAAAAAAAAAAUUUGAAGUUUGUACUCUGUAGUCGAUUGCCGAAUAUUGUAGAUAUCCAGUUAACAUAAAUUAUUUAUUGUUAAAAUAAUACAUGA